rnacentral:rRNA from 1 species
AUUGAACGCUGGCGGCAUGGCUAAUGCAUGCAAGUCGAACGAAAGCCCUUCGGGGCGAAAGUGGCGAAAGGGCGAGUAAUACGAUCGAACGUACCCCAAGGUGGAGGAUAGUGUCGGGAAACGUAGACGGUAAUACUCCAUGUGCUCUUCGGAGGGAAAGACUUUGGUCGCCUCGGGAGGCGGCGAUCGUCCUAUCAGGUAGUUGGUGAGGUAAUGGCUCACCAAGCCGAAGACGGGUAGCGGUGUGAGAGCAUGACCCGCCGCAUCGGGACGUGAGACACUGCCCGGACUCCUACGGGAGGCUGCAGCGACGAAUCUUCCGCAAUGGGCGCAAGCCUGACGGAGCAAUGCCGCGUGUGGGACGAAGCGUCUUCGACGUGUAAACCAACUGUCAGAAUCUAGGAACACUGACCAGAUUCAAAGGAAGGGCCGGCUAACCUCGUGCCAGCAGCCGCGGUAAAGU